rnacentral:lncRNA from 1 species
UGGAUUUGUGGAAUUGGUGUUGUUCCGUUUCCACCUGGCCAAUCAUCUUUGGUCACUGAUUCUGAGGUACGUGGUUGUUUUAUGUUAAUCCCAUUUAGUUUUGCACUUCAUGGCCUGGGUGGCCGCUGGACACCCGGCACACGGUCUAGAUCAGCCCUAACAUUCAGGCCAUUAGCUUAAAAAAUGUUGGUAGCUGAACACGUAAAUCAUCUACAGCUGUUGUAAAAGGAGACUACUGUUUGUUGACAAUCACACAUCAGUGCUGCUGUACUGUAUGAUUUUUCUUUUAUGAUUGUUUCCGUUUGAGCCUUGUAGCUGUACUUUCUAUGGUUCCUAACAUGGUUGUAGGUUAGAUGUUUCUGUUGGUUUGUCUUGCUGUAGAAUCUGCCAAUAUUCAUUUGUUACACAUUUUAUUAUGUAGAUGUACUUUCUGUGGUUCCUAACAUGGCUGCUUUACAGAAUAUUGAUGGGGGUAACACAAACAUGGGAGGCCUAUUAACUUCUGCUGCAGACCUAAAUUUCUUGCAGAUUUAAUUCAUUUGUAUUCAUGUAAUUGGUCGAGGUGAGAAUGAUAUGCCGUUGUUCAUGCCAAAGGCUGUGACACAUUUCUUUCUUUUUGCGAUAGUGCAAAUUGAUUGAUGAUGCAGCGCAACUAGCACAAGUUCAUCAUAUGGCUGUCUGCAUCACUAUGAUAUAGAGGCCCGGGGUUUAAUCUCCUUUUCAAAAAAGCACAAGUUCAUCGUGUCCUCUCCACAUCUAUGGAUAUCAGGUUCAAUAUCCAUGAUUUCUUAUCGAGUUAUUACUCGACCUUUUUUAAUCAUGGUACAAUAGUCGAUUUUUUAAAUAAAAAAACGACCUCCAUGGAUGUCACCCGCCAUUGGCAUUUAGCGAGCCAAUAUAUCACUACUUUGAUGGAUACAAUAGAAGUAAUUAUGUACACAUAUACGUGAUUCUAAAUUGUACUUAACAUGGGGUAUUUAAUUCUUUUAGCAGAUUAAACGAUCAUGUUGCUCUCUAAGUAAGUUGAGGAAAAGGAGCACAAUCCAGAGUCCGCCACCUAUGUUUCUAUUAUGGCAUCACCUACGAGCUGGUCCUAUGCGUUCAGUCUGCACAUGCGCUGAACGAGCCAUCCACUAUUUGGUGCCGCUGCUGGCUAAUCAUGGUUAUGGGUUGCUGAUGUAUUGGAGUUCGACCACUCUGAGAAAGGCGAUGCUCUGCAUGGUAAGUUUCUUAUGGCUGUGGCUGUUUUUCCUGAUGUGUUCACAUGAGGGGUAUAUUUUAGGUAUGUAGUUAUUUUGGUCCAGAUGUUGACAAAGGAUGAAGCAUGUGAUUUUCAAGAGGCAAGUUCCCUUGGAUAAUUAUGUGCAUUCUGAUGAGUACGUACCUGAGAAAAAUUCAAGAGGCUUUAGUGAGUUGAUUGUGCCCACAAGAGGUUGUCUUGCUUAGACUUGGUGUAACACAUGUCUAUGUAUCAGUAAAUUGAGAUGUUGUUACCGGGAUAUCAAUUCCGCUACCAUCUUCAUAUGCAGUACUCCCUCCGUCUAGGUGAGUAAGUCACCUUACGAAAAUUAGAUUUUCACCAAAGUGUAACGUUGGUCAGUACAGCCAAAGAUAAUAUCACCGACAUAUAUUUGGC